rnacentral:rRNA from 1 species
AGCGAACGCUGGCGGCAGGCCUAAAACAUGCAAGUCGAGCGCUCGUAGCAAUACGGGAGCGGCAGACGGGUGAGUAACACGUGGGAACGUACCCUUUGGUUCGGAACAACCCAGGGAAACUUGGGCUAAUACCGGAUAAGUCCGCAAGGAGAAAGAUUUAUCGCCGAAGGAUCGGCCCGCGUAUGAUUAGCUUGUUGGUGAGGUAACGGCUCACCAAGGCGACGAUCAGUAGCUGGUCUUAGAGGAUGAUCAGCCACACUGGGACUGAGACACGGCCCAGACUCCUACGGGAGGCAGCAGUUAUGAAUCUUGGACAAUGGGCGCAAGCCUGAUCCAGCCAUGCCGCGUGAGUGAUGAAGGCCCUAGGGUUGUAAAGCUCUUUCAGCGGGGAAGAUAAUGACGGUACCCGCAGAAGAAGCCCCGGCUAACUUCGUGCCAGCAGCCGCCGUAA